rnacentral:rRNA from 1 species
UGGGGAAUAUUGGACAAUGGGGGCAACCCUGAUCCAGCAAUGCCGCGUGUGUGAAGAAGGCCUUCGGGUUGUAAAGCACUUUUAUCGGGAACGAAACAUUGUCGGCCAAUACCCGGCAAGACCGACGGUACCCGAGGAAUAAGCACCGGCUAACUCCGUGCCAGCAGCCGCGGUAAUACGGAGGGGGCAAGCGUUAAUCGGAAUUACUGGGCGUAAAGCGUGCGCAGGCGGUUUGUUAAGUCUGCUGUGAAAUCCCCGAGCUCAACUUGGGAAUUGCAGUGGAUACUGGCAAGCUGGAGUACGGUAGAGGAAGGUGGAAUUCACGGUGUAGCAGUGAAAUGCGUAGAGAUCGGGAGGAACACCAGUGGCGAAGGCGGCCUUCUGGACCAGUACUGACGCUCAUGCACGAAAGCGUGGGGAGCAAACA